rnacentral:rRNA from 1 species
GGAUUAGAUACCCUGGUAGUCCACACCGUAAACGAUGUCUACUAGCUGUGUGUGAAUUUAAUUCGUGCGUAGCGCAGCAAACGCGCUAAGUAGACCGCCUGGGGAGUACGGCCGCAAGGUUAAAACUCAAAUGAAUUGACGGGGGCCCGCACAAGCGGUGGAGCAUGUGGUUUAAUUCGAUGCAACGCGAAGAACCUUACCUACACUUGACAUGUUGAGAAGUUACUAGAGAUAGUUUCGUGCCUUCGGGAACUCAAACACAGGUGCUGCAUGGCUGUCGUCAGCUCGUGUUG